rnacentral:tRNA from 1 species
UCUUUUGUCUAUUUUUAAACACCAUUCAAUCCGUCCGACCUAAGCUUAUUUUUGCAUAUUUUGGCGGAUUA